rnacentral:rRNA from 1 species
UACGAAGGGGGCUAGCGUUGUUCGGAAUUACUGGGCGUAAAGCGCGCGCAGGCGGUUUCUCAAGUCAGUGGUGAAAGCCCGGAGCUCAACUCCGGAACUGCCAUUGAAACUGUGGAACUUGAGGACGAGAGAGGUGAGUGGAAUUCCCAGUGUAGAGGUGAAAUUCGUAGAUAUUGGGAAGAACACCGGUGGCGAAGGCGGCUCACUGGCUCGUAUCUGACACUCAAGCGCGACAGCGUGGGGAUCAAACAGG